CACGUAGGGGGCAAGCGUUGUCCGGAUUUAUUGGGCGUAAAGGGUGUGUAGGCGGUUGUUUAAGUUUGGUGUGAAAUCUCCCGGCUCAACUGGGAGGGUGCGCCGAAUACUGAAUGACUAGAGUGCGGGAGAGGAAAGUGGAAUUCCUGGUGUAGCGGUGAAAUGCGUAGAUAUCAGGAGGAACACCGGUGGUGUAGACGGCUUUCUGGACCGUAACUGACGCUGAGACACGAAAGCGUGGGUAGCAAACAGG
rnacentral:rRNA from 1 species